UUAGAAUGAAGCUGAACCAUAUAAGUAAUCAUAACAAUGCAAAAAUAACUUACCUAAAAUACCAAUCAUGCCCAAAACCAGGUGUCAAAAGUGUAAGAACUAUUAAUAUAAUCCAGGAGUCAAAUACAUCAGAAAAAUAAUUGCAAGGGAAUAAUAUUUGUCUCUAAAUACUAAUAGUGACAUAAAUACUAUAGAAAGAUAGAGGUGAACUCUGAAUGCAUAAAUGUCCAACUGCUACCUUGGAAGCUCCAACAAUCACCCGAGUCAAGCAAGCUAAGGCGCACUCAAGCUAGGACCUGCACCAAAAGGGCGCAGUAGACAUGAGUAUGGUACACUUAUACCCAGUAGGUAUCAUAGGACGACCGAGAAAAGUACUAAAUAAAGCAUACAAAAUAUACACUAAGGACACAUCUCCUACAAUAAAAGGUGACCCACAACAGUAGCCCACACCACUUUCACUAACAGUUCUAAUAUAUCACAUACAUACCAAGAUAGAACAUGAGUAUGCAAUAUAUCACAUAUAGGUAGAACAGGGGGGAACAUUCAUAUAAAAUACUAUCAAAUACAAGUAAAAAAAUAAGUAAUUACAUAGAUGACAAGUCAAUAUGACAAUACAACACAAUAAAGUAAGUGCAAUAUAUAUGAUGAUGAUGAUGCACGAGGUCAUCGUACAACCUCUGGGAUCAUUGCACAAUCCCCGUAUAUACCUACAGAGCUAAAGCUUCCCGGCGUAGGACCUAUGAGGGGUUCUUCAACCUAUAUAUAAUCCACAUAUCUCAUAUCUCCUUUUCGUCACAUCUCUUGGAAAGGAUUUUAUAAGGUGUUGCAAUAUAUCCUCCCCAGCACAUCCCUCGGGAAAGAUUUUAAAAAGGUAUUUCCAGUGUUACUCAGGUGCUGUCAUAGUGAUACCAAUGUUUCAUGAAUGAGUAUGAUAUGAGGAUAUAAUGCUCACAAUCAAUCACAAUGAUAUAUUUCCACAACCAACCAUAUGAUAUAUUUCCACAACCAACUAUAAUAAUAUAUUUCCACAAUCAUGUGAGUCAAUAUCCACUCAUUAUUUCCGUUUCAUUCAUAAAUUUUCAUAUGUCUCAUAUACCAAUAAGUAUAAAUAUAUCACAAUACACCAAUGGAACCAUAUCGGGUAUUUCAACAACAUAAUACAAUUAUUCACAUGUAUUUAGGACUAUCAACAUCAUAUAGGCAUUCACACAGUUACACACAUCACAUAACAUCUCAAUUUCGGCAAUUGCAUCACAUAUAGGCCCCUACACGGGCACAAUACAUAGAUACCCAUUUUUCAUGAUUAGUUCCCACCCUUAACAUGCAUUUUGUAUCAUCAUUUACUACCCAGUCCAGUCUGAAUGAGUUAAGUCAUAACCUACCUUAAAAGCCAAAAUCGGUCAGCUACACUUUGAACCUAUGACCUUACUUUACAUGAACGAUCCCGAACUCCUCUAAAAAUAUAAAAUAUGUAAUCUACGCAUCAAAAUAAAAUCAACGAUACCCAUAUUGACUACUUUUGGUUCGAGGUCAAAGUGGACCCCUAAAAUGAGUUUUCAAAAAAGAAGAGCAAAGUCAAAACUUUACUUCAAAAAUAUAUUUCCUAGAUUUUUAGGAAUCUACAGUUGAAAACCCAAGGCAAAUCGAGUCGAAACGAGGUUAUAAUUGAAGAAAAACUAUUUUUGAGCUAUACCGGUAAAAUCUUUGAAAUCCAGGCUAAAAUCAAGAAUCGGAGUUGUUUUAAAGGUAAAAUUGAUGAAAAACUAGUAAUUAUAAGAUAAAAAUAUUAUUCAAGUGAAAAGAGGUGAAAAUGGGGUUUGACAUCAAGCCCUAAGAUUUUGAGAUUUGAAAAAUUAAUCAAGAAAUUACUAAUAAAAGGGUGAAUUCUUGCCUUAAAUCCGUAAUAAAAUCAAGAAAUAGAUGUUAAUCUAGCUUCUCAAGCUCCCACAAGCUUCAUUUUAAAGCUACUAUACUAUUUUAGGGUUUAAAUAUGAAAAGAAAAAAUGAAAAAUGAGCAAAAUGGACCGAAAAAUUAAAUAAUAGUGCGGAAAAUCUUCACUAACAAGGAAAAAAAAGUUGUUGUUUUUCUAUUUUAAGUCCAAUUCGGACUUCGAUGGGGUGACCGAGAUUCGUUCGAAGUUUGAUAUAAGCAAACAAACUAUGCAACCAUACUAAAUUCGACAUUUCAAAUGCUUAGGCGAAGUCAGAUUUUUGAAAAAACAUCAUUUUCAUAAAGUUGAUCCCCGAAAUUUGAAAUUAUAAUUUUUCAAAUCGAGGGUCGAAAUGAGAUUUAAAAUCCGUAAAAUCACACCAAAUACUCUAACACCCUAAAAUCAACAUUUUGAAUCUGCUGGCGAAUUUUCCAGCUGAGAUUGUUUCGACCAAAAGUAGGUCCUAUACCCAUAUUUUCAAUUUUUCAACUUUUCGACCAAUAGGUCGAAAUGAGCUCGAGUGCACCGGCACCCUAACCAAAGGUCUACCUAUUCUAAAAUUAAUAUUUUAGAGUUUUUGGCAUAGUAUGUUCAACCAUCCAUUGCACGGAUCUAAAUAUAUCCACAUAAGUCGAAACUAAAGCUCUCAAAGCCAUCAAAAACCACAAUAUCGCAUAAAUGGACCAAAAUGCAUCAAAAAUCAUGUCAAUCACCCCCACACCCUAGAAAUACCAUAAUUUAACUAUGGAAAGUGGUAAAAUAGUCAAAUCACAAAUUUCAUCAAAUUUUUAGGACGUUACAAUUUUUUUUUACAUAUUAUAAUUUUAAUUGUUUAUAGUGCAAUACAUUUUUUUUGUAAUUAUAUGUCGAUAUUUAUAUUUUUGUACCUUAUUUAAUACAGCCUACAGAGAUAAUGUCGGCUUAUUUUAAUACAUAGAGCAACAAAUUAGUCAAGUUAAGCUCUUGUCACUUUCUAAAAGAUAGACACUUGACUUUGUUUCACCUGCUACCCAAAAUUUAAGGGAUAUGCUUGGAAAAAAGUAGAUUUGAUGAAUUGAUUUUUUUCGUUUUUUCAUACACUUUACACACACAUUAAUACAUACAAAUACAUAUAAAAAGGAUUUUCCCAUUUUUCUCUCUCCUAGAACCAGGCAGCCACUGCCGCUACUCCUCUCCAGCGAAGAUCCACCGGAGCACGUCCACCACUGCACGGACUGUUCUUUCCUCUUUCUCUUUCGCUUUCAACGUCGGAGCUCCACCGGCAGAAACCAACCGCCACCGCGAUUCCAUCAACACCAACAUCACUGUCGUUACCUUCCACCAAAAAAAUAAGGAACAGCUGCCACCAGCAAGCUCUAGCCACACUACUCCAUCAUAAAAAAACAUCACCACCAACCUAUACCCAUCGACUACUUGCUCCCUCCAAGUGCCGCCUCCACAAACUCCAACCAACCAUGGUUGGUGAAAACCCACUGCUCCAACCCGCUGUCACCACCCUUACACUCUUCCUCUACUCUUUUCCGUUGCACCAGUGAGCUACCUCCGGUCACCACCAUCAUGGAUAUCCCCUUUUUUUCUCUCUCCUCUACUUUGUUGUUGUAACAUCAGAAAAAAGGUCAGAUCUGACCAAAUUUAUACAAUUUUGGAGUUACUUUGGUGAUUUGUCGUUGAAGUGAUGUCUCCACCACUACUGCGAUACCAGAACCAUGAGGGUUUCUAGUGGUACUUCCCUUAACAUUAAAUGUAUAAGAAAAUGAUAAGUUUUCUUUUUCUUUGUUCGUUCCUCAUAUUUUGGAGUAAAUGUUGUUUGUUGUUGGGUUGAAUAAUUUUUGGGAGAUGCUAUUGUUUGCUUUACUAUUAUUAUGUGCAGAUUAAUGCUGCUGCACUAGAGUCCGACUGAUAUUUGGCCAGAAAAACCUUCUUUUAUCACUUUGUUGUCUUAAUUUUGUUGUGAAAUUUUUUAUUACUUGUUUACUGCUCUUGGUCGUUUGAUAUUCCUUUACAAUUUUUUUGGACAUUUCGUCCCUUGCAUUUAUUUACACUGACAAUAAAUAAAUACAUGACCGAUGAUAUUAUCUCUCCAUCAAAUUUUUUAGGCCAUCAUAAUACAAAAGAAAGAUCUUUACUUUUCAAGUUAUUUAUUUUAUAUCAAAAAGAGACACUUGGCCGAUGAAGAAAUUCCUAUCAAUUUUCGAGGCCUCCCCAAAUAAAAGACGGAUAUUACAUAUAUAAAAAUAUGUAACAAAAUGAAAUAAAUUCAGAUGAUGAUGAAAUCUUUAUAAUAUUAUGAUAACACAAAAGGUUUUACGAUUCGUAACUUGGUAAGGCAAUUUAGGACGACCGAUUAAUCGAGCAACCGCUUCGUAGCCAUGGCGUAUCUAAAACUUAACCCGAGCCCAUGUUUUAAUAAAAAUUCUAUUUUUAUGUAUAUAUGUACACAUAGUUUUUUUAAAUUUACUAUGCUUUACCACUAAUGUAUUUGUAUAGGUUCUCGGGUACACUUACCAAAAAAUGACAUUCAAGGGAGAAUUUUAUACUUGUCUUUUCUUAUAAUUGUACACAUUAAACAUAGUGAAGACUUUACUUUUGGGUUGUUGGAUGGGAACAUUCUUUAUUUACAUAUACAUUAAUAUACGUUUAGGCAAGCUUUGGCCGUUAGUACUCUAUAAAAGAAUUAAAUUAAUCAAUUAGUUCACACAUUUACAUUAUAAAUAUUGUGUAGUUUUCUUCUCAAAUGAAUCUUUAUUUUUCUUUAUAAUUUUAAUCAAGUAAAAAUUAUUCGUAAAUAUUUUUAUUUUUCACGGCACAUUAAAUUUUUUUCUCUUUUCAUACAUCACAAAAUACUUUUCUUUUUCACAUGUAAUUUAUACAUUUUAUACAUAUCUAUUAUAUGUUCUCAUAACAAUGGGUUUUGUUUAUAUACUGAAUAUACACAUACCUUUAAAUAGUUUUAAAUCUUUGCAUUUCUCAAAAGAAUUAAUUUAUACUUAAUAUACAUACACCUUUUACAUCAUUUUAAUUAUACCUCCUCAUUCUUUGAUAAAUUUAGUCUAGUCAGGUACCAUAUUUGUAGAUCCUAGAGGGUGCCUAACCUCUUUCCUUCGGGAUAAUUUGAACCCUUACCUAGAAUCUCAAUUGAUUUUUUGUAGACUAAAAUAUCACUCAUACUUGUUAAUAAAUAAAUAGGUUUUCUUAUUUUCCUUAAAAAUUAGGUGGCAACUCUGUACAAUUUUCAAUUCUUUUUAGAGUUCAUAAAUUAUAUUUUGUUUAACCUUGAUAAAAAAAAAUAGGGCAUGACAACAGUCCCACAGCAUGGGACAACAAAACAUAGGCAACAAAUCUCAGAAAGUAAAAUUAGUACAACGGCUCAAAAUGAUAAUCAAAACAAAUAGGAGGAAUAUCCUUUUAAUGAAAUACAUGAAUAUGGAAAAGAAAGUGAUGAGCAGAUAAGCCUAAGAAGGGAUGCAGAGACAUAUUCAUAGAGACAUUGCAUCUUCAAUGUAGAACAAGGAGCAGAGAUAAAGAUGCCAAAUUUGAUCAAUGGUUGGUAAUACAUUAUUUUAGAAUAUAAGAUCCAUUAAUACUCAAAGUUUCUUUGAAAAAUUAAUGUAUCUGAAAAAGAGGAAUCAUUACUCAUUCAUUUCUUUGGUGAAGGCUUUUCAAAAUCCACAAGAGUUAGAACAAUAUAAAAGGAAACUAGGAUUCUUAAAUGCUAUGGCUAAUUAUUCAGCUAAAAUCUGAAUUUUCUAGGGAGAUGAGUGGCAAGGCCUUGUCAUUUUACACACCAUACAAUAGGUAACAAUGAAGUUCAACAAAGACAAUAAGGACUUCCUUAUUAUUGCAUUCUAUGCUAGGCAUAAUUCAUUAGAUAGAUUAGAGUUGUGGGAGGAGCUAGAAUAUAUGGCAGAACAAAAUCAUAGCCCAUGGAUGGUAGGGGGAGAUUUCAAUAUCAUAAUUGCUGAAAAAGAAAAACUAGGGGUACUGUCAUUCACUCAAAUGAAGAAACUGAUUUUUCCUUAUGAAUUAAUAGUUGUGCACUGACAGAUGUGAAUUUCACAUAAAGUAAAUACACUUGGUGGAAUGAAAGAAUUGAAAAGGGUUGUAUUUUCAAAUGAUUGAAUAGAGUAUUGAUGAAUUAGGCAUUGAUGGACAACUUCCCUUCAUUUGAAGUUCACCAUUUGAUUAGGCAAGGAUCAAACCAUGCACCACUAUACUUGGUGUGCAGCACAAAAGAGGAACCCAUUAUCAAGCCUUUUAGAUUUCUAAACUUCUGGGUGAAUCACUCACAAUUUAAGAAAGUGGUGAAGCAUAUUUGGAGUAUUAACUUUGUAGGGAGUCCUUUCAUUGAACUGCAAGCUAACUAAAGAAAGAGAAGAAGGCAUUAUCUGAAUGGAGUAAAGAAACUUUUGAAAACAUAUUCCAAAACAUUGCUACUACGAAAGAUGUGAUAAGGGUCAAACAAAGUCAAUUUGAAAUUAUGCCUUCAGCAAAAAAUAGGGUUAAACUAUAUAAAGUAGAAGCAGAGUUAAAAAGAUGGUUGAAAAUAGAGGAAGAAUUUUGGAAGCAUAAAUUUGAAAUGAGAUGGCUUGUGGAAGAAGAUAAAAAGUUUAAUUUUUUUCAUUCUUAUGUGAAAGGAAGAAGAAAGAAGCUACAUAUCUCUAAAAUCAAUAGCAGGCAAGGGAUAGCCCUUCAAAUAAAUCAACAAAUAGGGAUGAGGCUGUUGCAUUUUUCAUAGAAUAGUUCUCAGAGGAAGGGGUGAGUCAAGAAUAGGAUGUGUUGCAAUGUAUACCCAAGUUGAUUACUGAAGAGUAGAAUCAAGAAAUUAUAAGGCUACCAAAUUUUGAUGAAGUUAAGAGAGUAGUUUUUGAACUUAAUGGAGACAGUGCUUUGGGCCCAGAUGGUUUUUCAGGAGUAUUUAUUUAGAGUUGCUGGGACAUCAUUAGAAAAGACAUCACCAAAUUGGUAAGAGCAUUUUUAUGUGGACAGGAGCUCCCAAAAUUUAUUACUCACAUCAAUUUGAUGUUAUUGCCUAAAAAGGAAUUGGUAAAGAAUUUUUUAGAUCUUAGACCAAUAAACCUAAGUACAUUGACCAAUAAAAUCAUAUCUAGAGUAUUACAUGAAAGAAUUAUUAUGGUGCUUUCUAAUAUAAUUUCUCAGAAUCAGGUAGGAUUUGUGAAGGAAAGGAGUAUUAUAGAAAAUGUAUUAUUAGCGCAGGAGAUAAUUAGGGACAUUAACAUAAGAAAACAAUAAUAUCAAUAUAGUGGUCAAACUGGAUAUGAUCAAAGCAUAUGAUUGAGUUUUCUAGAUAUUUCUUAAAAAGGUGCUAAGGAGAUUUAGGUUCUUAGAUGUUAUCAUUGACAUGGUCUAGAUACUGAUUUCCAAAAACUGGUAUUCAGUGUUGGUAAAUAGGCAUUCAUAUAUUUUUCCAAUCUUCAAGGGCUAUUAAGAAAGGUAAUCCUUUUUUCUGUAUACUAUUCAUAAUUACAACAGAAGUACUACAAGGGGUCUAAACAUGUUACAUAGUGACAAUCAAUUCAUGAGAUAUGGACUUCUAAAGUGGAAUCAGGAAAUCAACCAGCUCUCAUAUGUUGCUGACACCAUUCUAUUUUGUUCAGGAUAUUAGGCAUCCAUUAUUAAAAUGAUGGUAGUUCUAAAGAAUUAUAAGAGUGUUUCGGGACAAUUAGUCAAUAACAAGAAGAGUUUUUUCUACUUGCAUGAUAAAACACCAUUGAUUAUUGCAAUAAGACUGAAAAGGUUAACAAGAAUAAGAGAAGGAAAUUUUCUUUUUAUCUAUUAGUGAUGCCCUAUUUUUAUAGAAGAAAGAAUAAGGCCUAUUAUGAAGAUUUUUUAGGAAGGUAACAAGAAGAAUGUUAAUGUGGCAGAAUAAAUUACUAUCAUUUAGAGGUAGAUACAUUCUCAUCAAUCACGUUCUGCAAUCAAUGCUAGUAUACACACUUUCAAUAAUGAAUCCUCCUCGAAGAGUCAUUGAUCAGCUUCAUCAAAUCUUUGCUAAAUUUUUUUGGGGAAGUUCAAAAAAUGUAAAGAUAAGACAUUGGGUUGCAUAGGAAGACAUGUGUUACCCCUGAGAGAAAGGGGGACUAGGUUUUACAUCCCUACAUGAUAUGUCCAAAGCAUUAUUUGCAAAAUUCUAGUGGAUAUUAGGACAUCAACCAUUUCCCUAUGAGGCUCCUAUAUGGGUAACAAAUAUUUUAAAAAGUUUCAUCCAGUAAUCAAAAAUUUUUUGGUGUUUCACAUAUUUGGAGAAAGAUGGUGGAUAUAAGAGAGGAAGUGGAACAUGAAAUUUAGUGGAAGCUCAAGGAAGAAAACUCUAGCUUUUGGUUUGACAAUUGGACAAAGUUAGGGGAAUUGUAUUAUGUAGAAGAACAAGAAGUAGGAGAAGUGGAAAUGGAAGUUUAAGAUUUCAUCACUAAUGGGGUGUGGAAUGUGGACAAACUGAGAAGAUAUUUAUCAAAAGGUUUGAUUAUUCACAUAGUUGAGAAUAUCAAACCUCAUAUUAGAAUAGUUUCUAAUGACAGAGCUUGGUGGAUGGGGAAUACUAAGGGAGAGUUCACAGUGAGCUCAGCUUAUCAUAUCAUGAGGCACAUGAGAGAGAAAAUAGAAUUGAUGCAGAAUAUUUGGAUAAAAGAAAUUUCUUUUAAAAUUACUUUCUUAUUAUAGAGAGUAUGAGAGAAAAGGAUACCUAUAGAUGAUAAUUUUAAGAGGAUGUAAUCCAAGUUGUCUCAAAGUUCCAAUGUUGUGAGGUAGGACAACAAGAAUUCAUGACACAUUUAUUACUAACAGCAACCAUAACUCAACAGCUAUGGAGGCAGUUUGCUACAUGUGUAUGUAUAGACAUGGAUGGGCUUAAUCUGCACCAGGCAAUCCACAGGUGGUGGAGCUAUGAAGGAAAUCCAAAAAUAAAGAAAAUCUUCAAAACAGUCCUGUUUUGCUGAAAUUUUGACUUUAGGAGUCGCCACUUAAUUUUGGAAAAGGAAUUAAAAAACCUUCGUAAAAUACUUAGACGAUUCAAAAGAGGAAAAUCGUUUAAGUUAGAGAUUCUAAGAGGUUCCUAUUAACGUUUUAGGAAGGUUUUAGGCAUCUAAAACAUUCGCUAACUUACGGUUAUCUGGACUGUUUGAAAACAUCUUUUGACUAACUUAGAAAAAAGAUUGAUUUAUUGAAAAGUGAUUGAUUUUUUUAGAAAAAACUAGUGUAAAAUAGAUUUAGGCGACUUAGUAAGGAUUUUAACUAAGUCUAAACAAAACUAAUUAAACAAAUAAACAUAUAAAAGGGGGAAUGAAGGAGAAAGUAAAAGAUUUAGGCCAUUGGACCCAAAUCAAUGAGACUUUUCCUAGUCUAAUUGGGUUUUCAACCCAUUUCACCUGUCCUAAUCUAGUUUUCAAUCCUAUGGCUCGAGUCUUGCUCCACCUUUAUUAAAUUUACAACUUUAGCUUUGAGGUACAAAUGAAUGAAUAAAUAAAAUAAAUAACUAAAGGCGACAAUAAAUGAAUAAAUUAAAAAAAUAAAAUAAAAAAAUGAAACGUUCAAGUCUUUUGGCCACUUCAAGAAUGGAUUUUGACCCUCUUUUUUUCUUUCGACUCCUCCUAUUUAUACGCCACGAGAUCACUUUUGAACUCAGAACUUCGGGCUUGACUCAAUGAGAUGGGCCUCAUUGGCCCAUUAAGGAAUGCAAGGAGAAAAUGUUCAUUUGGACUCUAAGGUGGAACGCGAAGCAAGAAAAAUAAAGAAUAUUAAUACAUGACCAACAAAAAAAAGGGAGGAACAAUAAGUCAACACACGAUCAACAAAAAUAGGAAAACUAAAAGUAGUCAACACAUGACCAACCAAAGCAUGAAAGAAAAGGGAAGAAAAUUAAUACAUGGUUAACUUCCAUAAGCAAGUUGACACGAAUGCUAAAUAAUUUUAAAGCCAAUUGGAAACAAAGACAUAUCCAUAUCAAAGAAAAUAAUAAGUUCGAUCUAGAGGAAAAAUUAACAGUAGUAAACAUAUAGUCGGCCAACAAAGAAGGAAAGAUAUAGAUAAAAUUGAUACAUGCUUAACCUAAAAGGCAAGUCUAUAUAAGCAAAUAAUUGCUAAAGAAUAAAUUUCACAUGUUCCUUAAAGAGGAUCCGAUGACUGAUAUGAAAAUUUUGGAAUAAAGAGUAGCCUAGGGGAACCGAGUUGGCAUACUCAAGGUUCUCGCUAGAGCUCGACUUUUUCAAUAUUUUCAUUCUCCCUGAAUUCAGCUUUAAAUAAACAAAAAGGAUUAAGAACCAAAGAAAUUAAAUAUUCAAGAUUUCUUUAAUUAGAUUAACCAACUUUCACAUUCUCUAAAAUCCAAAGGCGAAUAAUGCAUUCACCAAAUGUUAAACAUCUAGUUUUACCAGAAGAAGAUAUUAUAGCUAAAAGAUGAAGGGGAAAACACAGUUACUAUGAAAAUCAAGCUAUAGUCAGGGAUCUAUGGUGUAGCAAAUAACAAGUAAACAAACCGAAGACACACAAUUAGCAAUGUAACCUGCAGGUAAUAACAGAGAGCAUGUGUAUUCUAAAAUCCUAAAAAUCACAUAGCAGACACUUCUGUAAAUAGUUCAAAUAGUCAAUUUGAUCCUUCAAAAGGCAAAACUAACUGUUAUAAUUUUGAGGGGGGAGGGGAAAAUUAGCUAUUUGAUGAAACCUGUGUAUUGUAGAUCAAAAUAUCGUAGAUUUGUGAGAAAACAUGUGAGAAAUAGUCGAUUUUAUACUUUGAGAUGAGAAGAGAAAUGGAGUACUACCAACUUAACAAGAGAUGAUUGUUACCUAAUACAAAAUAACAUAUGCUUUCAUCAGAAGUUUAGGAGCUGAAUCAAUAACAAGAACAUUUUUAAUCAACUACUCUGUUAAUCAUCUAGAUAACAAUACGAGUGACUAAAAUAUGCAGGAACAUCCAAAAUGCUCCAAUAUCAUGGCAGUAUAUGAAUCGACGCAAAAAAAUCAAACAUUAAGCAUCUUAAAAAGUUGCAUACAUUCGCUUCAAACAGAACCCCAAACUUAAAGGCAUCUAAAAAAUGAAUCCUACCAAUACUUACAACAACAUACUCCAACAUACCCCCGCAAAUCGAUAAAUAAUAAAUCAAGGUAACUAUUUUAAUCUUCAUCAAACCAAAUUGACAUUAGACAGUGACCCAACCACAAAUUAAGAGAUUAGACCUCAAACUUGAUGGACGAAAUGGGAAGCGAUGAAUCAAAGAAACCAUCUUUAGUCCAAAACUAAAAACUUUCUCCUACAUAAAUCAUUUAAUCUCAAUAAUGAAUUAGACAAGACAGUGUACGAUUUUUACAUAAAUAGUUUAAUCCCAAAAGUAAAUUAGACAAGAAUAGUGCACGAUAUCUACGUCAUAUAUACAUCGACUGACAAUCGCUAAACCAAUUUAUAAUUAGCAAAUAUAGCCACUUGACACCAUUAACAGGCAACAACGAACAUGUUCAAAGAUUGAACUGAAAACUAUAACGCAAUCAAUGUUUUCAAGACAAACAACACAUAGCAGACUAUUCCUAUGGCUUGCAUAGCCAUCUACAGCUACUCCUAGAAAAGUACACUAUAAUGAAACAUAAAUACGACUACGAAAUGGGGAGAUAAAGGAGAAACAAAUAGAAAGAUAAGUGAAACAGAGCAUUACCUGUUUCAUGGCAGCAACUGACGUUAGAAUUACCACCAUUGAAAAACAUCUUCGCAUUCAAUUCGAAGCUCUACUUUAGCCGACAAACUUUAGGAAAAGCAAAAUUUCUACAAAAAGAAUGAAUUUCGCCCCCAAGAAUUUUUUCUUUUUCUCUUCUCCCGUUUUCUCUUGGAUUUUCUAAACCAAAAUCUUCCAACCCCUUAAAACAGUGACCAAAUUGGUUCUUAUAAAGAAGAAAAAAUUGAGGUAUUUUAGGGAUUUGAAAGUAGGAUAUUUUGAAUUUGAAAUUCAAAAAUUCACCCCACGGCCCCAUUUUCGUCCUCAAUUUGUACCCAUUUUUUUGGAUUUUUUCUAGAAGAAUUAUAAAAUGGUGGACCAAUGUAAUUUUGGCACAACCAAUUGGACCAAGGGACAAUGAAAUUGUAACAUAUGUUCACAAAAUCGUAUCCUUAUACCUGAGAUUCACAGAGUUGAGCUAUGUAGGGAGACACCUGGAGUUAUUCUAAAAGGUUCUUGGGCUUUUCCUUGCCAUUAUUGGGUGAGACGCGUGGGGAAGUUUCGGGUCAGAUCAUUUUCAUGGUUUUUGGGUUGAGGUCGAUGGGUCGCUGGGUCGGGGUUGUUCGGAUCAUUGACGAGUUGUUAGCUAUCAGUGUUGAUGGGGCUAAAAUAGAUCGGUUCAGGGUUUUGGUAUUGUGGCUGAAGUACU
rnacentral:lncRNA from 1 species